CCCCUCUCCAGAUCGCACCUGGAGAGUUUCCAGUACUCUACCGGUCUCGGCUACAGGAGGGAGAGUCAAGCAGAGAUGUAACCUUUCCAUUGCUUGCUUGGGCAGUGGCUAGCGAGUGGAAGGCAAUCUGCUACAAGU